rnacentral:rRNA from 1 species
CAAGUCGAGCGGAAACGAGUUAUCUGAACCUUCGGGGAACGAUAACGGCGUCGAGCGGCGGACGGGUGAGUAAUGCCUAGGAAAUUGCCUUGAUGUGGGGGAUAACCAUUGGAAACGAUGGCUAAUACCGCAUAAUGCCUACGGGCCAAAGAGGGGGACCUUCGGGCCUCUCGCGUCAAGAUAUGCCUAGGUGGGAUUAGCUAGUUGGUGAGGUAAUGGCUCACCAAGGCGACGAUCCCUAGCUGGUCUGAGAGGAUGAUCAGCCACACUGGAACUGAGACACGGUCCAGACUCCUACGGGAGGCAGCAGUGGGGAAUAUUGCACAAUGGGCGCAAGCCUGAUGCAGCCAUGCCGCGUGUAUGAAGAAGGCCUUCGGGUUGUAAAGUACUUUCAGCAGUGAGGAAGGGGGUGUCGUUAAUAGCGGCAUCUCUUGACGUUAGCUGCAGAAGAAGCACCGGCUAACUCCGUGCCAGCAGUCGCGGUAAUACGGAGGGUGCGAGCGUUAAUCGGAAUUACUGGGCGUAAAGCGCAUGCAGGUGGUUUGUUAAGUCAGAUGUGAAA